CUGGAUGCAGGCAAGUGAGGAAGCAUGACCCCAAAUGGCUAUUCUGGGACAAUUUCUGAGCUUCAAAGGCUUGCAUUUUGGAUCAGUGCUGAGUUGUCUCUGUUUGGCAUUUGUGCUGGAAGCAGUCCCAGAAUUUCCAGGCAUCCCUGAGAAAAUGGGCCUGUAUUUCCUGUGUGGUGUCUCUGGAGGCCUUAUCUUUCUAUUACGCAUCUUUACUUCCAAAAUGAUCUUUGUCCAAGAAAUGAAAGAAGUUUCUGGGUGUAUAAAUUCCAAGUUGGGCAAGAAAAAGCUACAGGAUCAGGAAGAAGAAGAAAACCACAAUGAUGACAGUUCUUCUGGUUCCUCUUUCCAUCACUUUACGUACACCUAUCCAUCCUUGAAUAGCAUGUUUUGCCCUGAGCUGACUGCAGCUUUAGAGCAUUCAGCUAACGGAAGAAAGAGAUGAAAUCUGGAUAGCCAAAGAGCCUAGUCUUUAUGCUAUUUACAAAAUCAAAACUGCCACAAAAUAAAAUGAAACACAAUGUGCA
rnacentral:lncRNA from 1 species